rnacentral:rRNA from 1 species
GCCAGCAGCCAUAUCACCCUGCAGCUCACAGCUGGCAGCCCACUGAAGGUCAGCAGGUGUGGGCCUGGUCAGUACCUGGAUGGGAGACUCCUGGGAAAGCUAAGGUUGCUGCUGGAA